CCCUUGGCUCACCUUCCCCCAUCCACGCACCAGGAGCGGAGAGCCCGGAACUAAGAACUGUAGACCCAGAGAGGUGAGACUGGCCCCAAGCACCUGGGUCCUCAAGAAGAGUCACCGUUUCCGUGCCAGGAGGAUCCAAGGUGGGGAAACUGAGGCUGAGAGAGAAGGACGUUGACCAAGGUCACAGGGCAGGAGCAGCAGAGACAGAGUCUCGCUAUGUUGCUCAGACUGGUCUCCAACUUCUGGCUCAAGCGAUCCUCCUGCCUUGACCUCGCUAAGUGCUGGGAUUACCGAAUGGGAGCCACCAUGCCCAGUCUUUACUCAAAAUUCACCUUCUCCCUGGGUCUUCUCUGGAGACCCUAGCUUUAAAAAUAAACAAGUAAA
rnacentral:lncRNA from 1 species